GAAAUGCGAUAAGUAAUGUGAAUUGCAGAAUUCAGUGAAUCAUCGAAUCUUUGAACGCACAUUGCGCCCGCCAGCACUCUGGCGGGCAUGCCUGUUCGAGCGUCAUUUCAACCCUCAGAACCCCUUGCGGGAUCUGGCGUUGGGGAUUGGCAUCCAGCCAGCCCCGAAAUCUAGUGGCGGUCCCUCCGCGACCUCCCCUGUGCAGUAGCGAUACCUCGCAGCGGGACAGCGGUCUGACCACGCCGUAAAACCCCCAACUUCUCAAGGUUGACCUCGAAUCAGGUAGGAAUACCCUCUGAACUUACGC
rnacentral:misc_RNA from 1 species